AUGUGGAUAAAGCACACCUGGGCUGCGACUGCGGGGCCGGGCUCAGCGCCAGGCUGUCCCCGGGCGGGCAGCAUUCCUGCGCCGGGGCGCUCACUCCUUAGGAAGCGCUCCCGGGAGAGUUCCGUGAACCUGUGCGGGCACCGCGUCUGCGUGAGCCGCCGGCAGGGGCAGCCUGGGCUGCCCCUUGCCGGGCGGGGGGCUCCCUCCAGCCGGCGAGAGGGCGAGCGCUGUGCUUAUUUCUUUGCAAGAAGAUCUCUUCAGGCACCCCGAGCGGCGCUCCCCGGCCUUUUGCAAUAUAGAGGGGAAGCAGGUAAGAAGUGCCGGUCGCUCCCCCGCGUCUCGCAGCGUUCGUGUGCGCGGUGCCCGCCCGCCGCCGCCGUCCCGCUGCCCGCCGGGCGGAGGGGCGCGGAGCCGCGGACCCCGGGCAUUGUCGCGGCCCCCGUACAAAGCCUGGCGGCGGCCGCCGCUGGAGCGCCUUCCCUUACCCCCCUUCCCAGCUGCCGCCGGGAAAGGGCUCUGCCUGCCUCGGCUGUGAAUGGAGGGGACGGGGGGGUGGGUGGGGGAGGCUGGGGCACCCGCUUCCCCUGUAGUAAACACUGUUCUGAAACAGUGGCAGAAAAGAUCAAAGUGAGCCCUCUAUUUCUCUCCUCUCCGGUUCCCUUCCUGCCCCACACACCGUCUUUUGUUUCAAUCCAGGAGAAAAUCGGUGAAUCACCUAAUUAAAACCAAUACAUGAAUUAAGCAUCCAUUUUUGUACUACAAAUUUCCAGCUCUCCGCUUGUCCCUCCCUUGGUCUCCAUUAAAAAAGCACCAGAGACGCUGUUAAAAGGGGGGGUAUUUUGCCUCUAGCUUCUAGCUCUGCUUUCUAUUUCACUGACUCCUAUCCCAGGACCAAAAUUGCUUGGCUCUGUAAUUACUAGAGUAAGCCUAUUUAAGUUAAAAGCUUUCCCCCCCAACUCUAAAUGAAACUUGAUGAGGGCCCGUCCUUAGUUAUCAAGGGAGUCACUUUCUGGUCAGUCCUCUUGAUUCAUCUUUUUAGAUUUAAUCAGCAUUAAGGUAUUGCUUGUCCUUAAGAGCUUUAGCUUAAUGGGGUUACUGGAUGGUUUUCUCAGUGUAACGUUUCCCAUUUUAUAUUUAUACAUAUUUGUCUUCGACAAAGACAGGUUAAGGUGGUGGCAUGGAGCCUUUUUCUUUCUUUUAAGAAAUCCGAAGUGAUUUAAAGCAUAGGAAAACGGUUUAAAGACUCGGAGCAGGAAAUGCAGAUUCAUUAGGCUGUAGCUGGAAACUGUAACAAAAGGCAAUUCCUUGAACAAAUGCAUCAGAAAUCAAUUUACAUAAAGGUACACGAUGAGUUCGGAUAAAUGCAAUGCUAAUGGCUUUUAGAGUGGUUUUCUUUCCAAAGUCUCGGGGUUUUUGUUACAGCUUAAUUGGUGCAGUUCUCCUGGUUUAUUGUGCGGUCACUGGACAUACCUCCAGGUACUCUUUCUGAGGAAAUGUGUUUAAAUCGGCCUCAGUUCUCCCCUGCAGCCGAGUUGGGCCAGUGUCAGGAAAAGUUCGUCCUCGCUGCUCUGGACGUAUCAGUCUGAAGGUCCUUAGCAGAUAGCCAGAUGCCUCGGCAUGAGCACAUACGGCUUACAAAGGACAAAGACAAAACAUGCUGCUUAAUUGGCAGUAAAUAACUUGAUCUUUUUAUAGUAUAAGUGACUGGAGGAACACCGGGAGUUUAUUGGACCCUGGAUUGAAGGCAACAAAUUAAUCGGUUUAGAGUAAGCUUUAUGAAUUGAUUCCUAUAUUAUCUCUCGGUUGUCCUGCUUGCAUAAAGCAUUUAUUAGAAAGUGAAAAAUGCCCUUAGUAGCAGUUUCGGGGGCGGCCAGAGUAACCGCAGCCGGAGCGAUUCGCUUCAUUACUCGACCGCUUUCUUAGGGUCGAUAAACUUUUUUCUCUUUUUUCCUUUUUUUUUUUUUUUUUUGGUAACAAAGCUUUAGCAUUUAAACUGCUGAUCAAGGGCAGAUUAGCGAGACAAAAGUUGAGUGUGUUUGUGUAGGAAGUUAACAGGCGUCCUAAAGUUCAAUGAUCUAUUAUUCGGGCCAGUGUCCUCGAUCUGGAGUGUUUUCUCGGAGUGUUUUUAGUUCUCUAAAAUAAAACCACAGAAAAUAAAAUCCCA
ensembl:lncRNA